UCAGCUCUCCUAGCCUUUUGGCUUCGAUCAAGUGUAGUAACUGUUCCUGCCUAGUUUAAUCUCUGGCACGCCACCUACGGGGGCACCCAGUUAUUACCAGUUUUUGGAAACAGUCUAGCGGCCGCUGAACUUCGUUCAUGCCGCUGGUCACAGUGUCGCCAGUAUUGCACUGCCUCUGGCUGACGCAAACUUCC
rnacentral:snRNA from 1 species